GUUUCAAACCGUUCCAUCGCUGCUAGACUUGAUCUAGGAGAGGAAAGUCCGGACAGUACAGAGCACCGCGCUUCCUAACGGGAAGAGUCCGCCUAAGGCGGAUAUGGAAAGUGCCGCAGAGACAAUACCACCAAGCUUUGGCUUGGAAAGGGUGAAAAGAGUGGGGUAAGAGCCCACAGCUGUAUGUGGUAACAUGUGCAGGUGGUAAACCCCGCGGACUGUAAGGCCAUGUAAACCGAGGCUUGAGAGCUGCUCGCUCGACUCGGAGGGUAGGCUGCUCGAUCCUGUCGGCGACGACAGGGCUAGAUAAAUGAUGGAAGCCCCGAUUUCGAUUGGGGAACAGAAUCCGGCUUAUAGGUUUUACUUUUUA
rnacentral:RNase_P_RNA from 1 species